rnacentral:ncRNA from 1 species
UAUCUGGUUGAUUCUGCCAGUAGUCAUAUGCUUGUCUCAAAGAUUAAGCCAUGCAUGUCUAAGUAUAAGCAAUCUAUACGGUGAAACUGCGAAUGGCUCAUUAAAUCAGUUAUCGUUUAUUUGAUAGUACCUUACUACAUGGAUACCUGUGGUAAUUCUAGAGCUAAUACAUGCUAAAAACCUCG